rnacentral:rRNA from 1 species
UACAGAGGUCUCAAGCGUUGUUCGGAUUCAUUGGGCGUAAAGGGUGCGUAGGCGGUGGGGCAAGUCAGGUGUGAAAUCCCGGAGCUCAACUCCGGAACUGCACUUGAUACUGCCUUGCUAGAGUACUGGAGAGGAGACUGGAAUUUACGGUGUAGCAGUGAAAUGCGUAGAGAUCGUAAGGAAGACCAGUGGCGAAGGCGGUCUGCUGGGCCGUUGCUGACGCUGAGGCGCGACAGCGUGGGGAGCAAACAGG